rnacentral:rRNA from 1 species
CGAUCCGGCCAUAGCGGUUGGGAAACACCCGGACCCAUAUCGAACCCGGAAGUUAAGCCGGCCGCGUUGGGCGUGCUGUGGGGUCCGCAAGGACCUGCAGCGCGCCCAAGCUGGAUCGG